GAUGAACGCUGGCGGCGUGCCUAAUACAUGCAAGUCGAGCGAACGGACGAGGAGCUUGCUUCUCUGAGGUUAGCGGCGGACGGGGGGUUAACACGUGGAUAACCGACCUAUAAGACUGGGAUAACUUCGGGAAACCGUAGCUAAUACCGGAUAAUAGUUUGAACCGCAUGGUUCAAAAGUGAAAGACGGUCUUGCUGUCACUUAUAGAUGGAGCCGCGCUGCAUUAGCUAGUUGGUAAGGUAACGGCUUACCAAUGCAACGAUGCAUAGCCGACCUGAGAGGGUGAUCGGCCACACUAGAACUGAGGCACGGUCCCGAAUCCUACGGGAGGCAGCAGUAGGGAAUCUUCCGCCAUGGGCGAAAGCCUGCCGGAGCAACGACGCGUGAGUGAUGAAGGUCUUCGGAUCGUAAAGCUCUGUUAUUAGCGAAGAACAUAUGUGUAAGUAACUGUGCACAUCUUACCGGUACCUAAUCAGAAAGCCCCGGCUAACUACGUG
rnacentral:rRNA from 1 species